rnacentral:rRNA from 1 species
UACGUAGGGUCCAAGCGUUAUCCGGAAUCACUGGGCGUAAAGCGUGCGUAGGUGGCGCGUUAAGUGAGAUGUUAAAUCGUGUGGCUCAACCAUAUCGAUGCAUCUCAUACUGGCGUGCUAGAGGACAGCAGAGGCAAGUGGAACUUGUAGUGUAGCAGUGAAAUGCGUAGAUAUUACAAAGAACACCAAUGGCGAAGGCAGCUUGCUGGGCUACUCCUGACACUGAGGUACGAAAGCGUGGGGAGCGAACAG